rnacentral:rRNA from 1 species
GACGAACGCUGGCGGCGUGCCUUAUACAUGCAAGUAGAACGCAGUUUCGAACGGGUGAGUAACGCGUAUGUAACUGCCUCAUAGCGGGGGAUCACUUUUUGAAACGAUAGCUAAUACCGCAUACUGUGAGAUGUACCUGCGUUGUAUUAGGUAGUUGGUGAGGUAAAGGCACACCAAGGAGACGGUACAUAUCCGACCUGAGAGGGGGAUCGGGCAACAUGGGAAUUAGACAAUGCCCAAGCUCCGUCGGGAGGCAGCAGUAGGGGAUGUUCGGAAAAGGGCGGAAGUCUGAACGAGCAAAGCCGGGGGAGUGAAGAAGGUUUUCGGAUCGUAAAGCUCUGUUGUUAAGGGAGCGGUAACUAACCAGAAAGGGACGGCUAACUACGUGCCAGCAGCCGCGGUAAUUC